UUAUUAUAUGUUCGACUUGUAUAUAAGUGAAGAUCUGAGACGAUUGAAAUCAUACAGACAGAAGAUCGUUUCAUUCAGUUGAUCCACUGACAUCCUCUUUGCUAAUCUUAGAAUCAUGAAUUUUAAGGCGCUUCUCUUAAUCUUCGUUGCCCUGUUCGCUGCCUGCAGUGCAGCGUAUAUUGGAGCUGGAGCAGGAAUUGGAGUUGGGGCGGAAGUUGGCGCUGCAGUCGGAGCGGCAGCUAGAGCUGCAGGACGUGCUGUUGGUGGAGUUGAAGGAGGCAUUGGCAUCGGAGCUGGAAUCGGAGCUGCGGUGUAUUAAAAAAAGCUGAUGCCUUAAUUUUUCAAUUUUGUUUCUAAAUCCUUCAAAAUGAAUCUUCUAUUGCUACAAUUUUGUUUUUAAAUCCUUCAAAUUAGAUUCUAAAUCUUUUAAUAUAAAUCUUAUUAUGUUACAAUAAAGUUAUGCAAUGCUC